ensembl:lncRNA
CGGGAGAGAGAAGGGAGAAGCACGUGCGGUUGAAGGAGUGUGAAUUCGCUAGCUGCGGGUUUUUUGUUUCUUUCAAGUAACAUCACUGCGAGUUAAGUGGUCGACCAGAGCACUAUAUGUAACUGUAGUGGUGUAAUAAGCUAACCUCGGAGAGAUGUUAUAUUACCGUGGAAAGAGUAUAAUAGUUAAGAGCUAGUUGUUAAGACUUGGAUACUAGUGCACACAUGGACUUUGCUAAGAAGUUAGUGAACAGCCGACUGGAGGAUCAGAGACUGUGUUUCUCACAGAGAAAGGAGCUGUGGACUUCGCGGAUGACUGCCUGUGUGUGAACCUUCUCUUCUUCUUAUCUUGCAACGACCCUGCGUGACUGUGACCCCAUUGUUGAUCAAGUGACAGGUGUAUGCAAACAGAAGUCCAGCGAUGCAGAGCGGGUGACUGAAUCAGACCUCAUGUUGGGGAUAUGGACCUACUGGAUGCUGCGCUACGGGCUAGUCACAACUAACAGGAAUUUCAUGUAAGUGGAGCUGUCAUAAAUCCUAUUAAUCCUUCAGUGUGUGAAUAUCACAUGCCUUGUUCAGGACUGUUCUGUGACUAGCAGUAGGUAUGUUAGCAUGCUCAUUUAGUAGAGGCAUGGUAUUUACAACACAAAUUUAAGGUAAAUUACUAUUGUGCAACAAGUCAACAAUUGUCAAGAAGAAUACUGAUAUUUAAUAAUUAUUAAAUAUAUACAGUAUCUCACAAAAGUGAGUACACCCC